UACGAAGGGGGCUAGCGUUGUUCGGAAUCACUGGGCGUAAAGGGCGCGUAGGCGGCCGAUCAAGUCGGGGGUGAAAUCCUGGGGCUCAACCCCAGAACUGCCUUUGAUACUGGCGAUCUCGAGUCCGGAAGAGGUGAGUGGAACUCCUAGUGUAGAGGUGGAAUUCGUAGAUAUUAGGAAGAACACCAGUGGCGAAGGCGGCUCACUGGUCCGGUACUGACGCUGAGGUGCGAAAGCGUGGGGAGCAAACAGG
rnacentral:rRNA from 1 species